UACGUAGGGGCCUAGCGUUGUCCGGAUUUAUUGGGUUUAAAGGGUGCGUAGGCGGCCCUGUAAGUCAGUGGUGAAAUACUCUAGCUUAACUAGAGGGGUGCCAAUGAUACUGCAGGGCUUGAGUACAGAUGAGGUAGGCGGAAUUGACGGUGUAGCGGUGAAAUGCAUAGAUAUCGCCAAGAACACCGAUAGCGAAGGCAGCUUACUGGGCUGUAACUGACGCUGAUGCACGAAAGUGUGGGGAUCAAACAGG
rnacentral:rRNA from 1 species